rnacentral:rRNA from 1 species
UACGAAGGGGGCUAGCGCUGUUCGGAAUUACUGGGCGUAAAGCGCACGUAGGCGGAUACUUAAGUUAGGGGUGAAAUCCCGGGGCUCAACCCCGGAACUGCCUUUAAUACUAGGUAUCUCGAGUUCGAGAGAGGUGAGUGGAAUUCCGAGUGUAGAGGUGAAAUUCGUAGAUAUUCGGAGGAACACCAGUGGCGAAGGCGGCUCACUGGCUCGAUACUGACGCUGAGGUGCGAAAGCGUGGGGAGCAAACAGG